UUGACAGAAGAGAGUGAGCACACAAAGGGGAAGUUGUAUAAAAUUCUUUGUAUAUGGUUUGCUUUUGCGUGCUCACUCUCUUUCUGUCAU
rnacentral:pre_miRNA from 1 species